CAUCAUCGGUAGCACUGUGCUGAUGAGUUCCAAAAAGGGCGAAACGGCUGUCCAUAGUUACGGUUGUCUGAGCUU